rnacentral:rRNA from 1 species
GACGAACGCUGGCGGCGUGCUUAACACAUGCAAGUCGAACGAAGAGCGAUGGAAGCUUGCUUCUAUCAAUCUUAGUGGCGAACGGGUGAGUAACGCGUAAUCAACCUGCCCUUCAGAGGGGGACAACAGUUGGAAACGACUGCUAAUACCGCAUACGAUCUAAACUCGGCAUCGAGGAUAGAUGAAAGGUGGCCUCUACAUGUAAGCUAUCACUGAAGGAGGGGAUUGCGUCUGAUUAGCUAGUUGGAGGGGUAACGGCCCACCAAGGCGAUGAUCAGUAGCCGGUCUGAGAGGAUGAACGGCCACAUUGGGACUGAGACACGGCCCAGACUCCUACGGGAGGCAGCAGUGGGGAAUCUUCCGCAAUGGACGAAAGUCUGACGGAGCAACGCCGCGUGAGGGAGGACGGCCUUCGGGUUGUAAAGCUCUGUUAAUCGGGACGAAAGGCCUUCUUGCGAAUAGUGAGAAGGAUUGACGGUACCGGAAUAGAAAGCCACGGCUAACUACGUG